GUGCCAGCCGCCGCGGUAAUACCAGCUCCGCGAGUGGUCGGGGUGCUUACUGGGCCUAAAGCGCCCGUAGCCGGCCCGGUAAGUCGUCCCUGAAAUCCACGGGCUCAACCCGUGGGCUGGGGACGAUACUGCCUGGCUUGGGGGCGGGAGAGGCCGAGGGUACUCCCGGGGUAGGGGCGAAAUCCGAUAAUCCCGGGAGGACCACCAGUGGCGAAGGCGCUCGGCUGGAACGCGCCCGACGGUGAGGGGCGAAAGCUGGGGGAGCAAAGGGGAUUAGAUACCCCUGUAGUCCCAGCUGUAAACGAUGCGGGCUAGCUGUUGGGCGGGCUUAGAGCCCGCCCAGUGGCGGAGGGAAGCCGUUAAGCCCGCCGCCUGGGGAGUACGGCCGCAAGGCUGAAACUUAAAGGAAUUGGCGGGGGGGCACACAAGGGGUGGAGCCUGCGGCUCAAUUGGAGUCAACGCCGGGAACCUCUACCGGGGGCGACAGCAGGAUGACGGCCAGGCUAACGACCUUGCCCGACGCGCUGAGGGGAGGUGCAUGGCCGUCGCCAGCUCGUGCUGUGAAGUGUCCUGUUAAGUCAGGCAACGAGCGAGACCCCCGCCCCUAGUUGCGACCCUGCGGGCGACCGCGGGGGCACACUAGGGGGACUGCCGCCGCUAAGGCGGAGGAAGGAGGGGGCCACGGCAGGUCAGCAUGCCCCUAAACCCCCGGGCUGCACGCGGGCUACAAUGGCGGGGACAGCGGGAUCCGACCCCGAAAGGGGGAGGCAAUCCCUGAAACCCCGCCGUAGUUGGGAUCGGGGGCUGAAACUCGCCCCCGUGAACCUGGAAUCCCUAGUAACCGCGCGUCACCAUCGCGCGGUGAAUACGUCCCUGCCCCUUGUACACACCGCCCGUC
rnacentral:rRNA from 1 species